AGCUGAUGUAGUGAGAGGACUCCUUCUACCAUGCUCUCCUACCUCAGUGUGCUGCCUCAACAGAGACCCAAAUCAACAGCAUCAAUCAUUUCAAAAUGGAAACUCUGCUCACAGUUCACGGGCCAUGUAAAGGCAGAUGCACACCAACUCGUCCAAGAAAUCAGAGUCUGCCAGCCCAUAUUAGAGCAAAGUGUUCCAGACGUUUCUGUGAUUGUCUGAGAAGUGAGAAAGCCUUGGACAGAGCCUGCUCCCCUAGACAGCACGAGGUGCUGGAUGAAUACAGGGCAGCUUUGUGGAGGAACCGAGGACCAUCUUCCCCCUAAACACGAAGUCCAUAGCUGCCAGGACCUUGAAAUUCCCAGACAGUCAAGCACCACUGUUUGGGAUUAAGCAACAUUACGAGUGUGUCUUUGUCUUAUAUAUAUGAUGAGUACACAUAGCUGUCUACAGUCAUACCAGAAAAGGGAAUCAGAUUCAUUACAGAUGGUUGUAAGCCACCAUGUGGCUGAUGGGAAUUGAACUCAGGGCCUCUGAAAGAGCAGUGAGUGCUCUCAACCACUAACUUAGCCAUCUCUCCAGCACCCCCCACCCAUGAGUGUGUCGUUUUCUUUUUUAAAAAAUUUCUUUAUUUUAUGUAUAUAAGUACACCACUACUCUCUUCAGACACACCAGAAUAGGGCAUCAGAUCCCAUUACAGAUGGUUGUGAGCCACCAUGUGGUUGCUGGGAAUUGAACUCAGGACCUCUGAAAGAGCAGUCGGUGCUCUUAACCACUGAGCCAACCCUCCAGUCUGUGAGCAUGUCUUAAUGAUAGACAUGAGAUGCCAAAGUAGUAAUGUUCUUUGAGGAUUUGAAUUUACCUCCAGACUGAAAAGUUAAACAAACAAAAAGAACCUGCCCAAAUUAUCGUCAUCGUCAUCAUCAUCAUCAUCAUCAUCAUCAUCAUCUACAUCUUUGGGGUCUUUAAAUGAGAGGGGGUAAGUUAAAGUGCAUAAAGACAGAUGGAAAAUGGAACCACAGUUCCUGGAAAUCUCAGAUACAAGACUAGAGGUAUCAUGACUUCCUUGAAGAAUAAAGAAGUUGAUACAAAAUAUGAAUUCAAUUAUAAAACCAAACGAAAUUAACACUGUAUCCAUUUGUGACCAAUCUAGAGAACUCUCAAACAUUUAAGCCAGAUUGAUUUUGGUUUAAAAGCACUGUAGUUUCUCUAAUUAUUUUAAAAGAUGGGUCCUGUUUUAUUAUUUUUUUCAGGCAUGUUUGCAUGUUUUGACUUUUUCCUAGUCGAUAACUGAAAUGGUGGUGAAAUUUACCUAAGUGAGUAAAGCAGACGAAACAUUUGAAAGAUCAAUCAGCGCACAGAACCGUGUUCUCUUUAGCUCAUUGUCAAAUGGGCUCAUCUGGGUUGCACUGAUUUCCGGGUUAGAUCUGUCUACACUGAGUGUCUGGUUUCUUCCAGGGUCACCUUUGCACCUGUCUCUAUGCAUAGCUUUGGAAAGGGUUGUGUAGGAAAGAACACUGGGAAUAGUUAACGCCUCUGUUUAAGGCAGCUUAGGGUAUACAGAAUGGCACGAUUUAGUAAUGACCAUCAGGGAGAGCAUCCUUCCUGGACAUUCUGCUGACUAGAGAGGCAAGCUAUCUACCGUCCUGAACCUUCCAUCUAAACCCUACAAUGGGGAAAACAGGUCCUAGCAUUCAGGACUGUUUAGGUAGCGUUGAAGAGUUCCCAGAUGGUGCCUGGGAGGGUGAAUAAAUUUUCCUCACUUAGGGAUUCUCAUCUAAGUUCCCGACUUAACUAGGCACAUGUCCACAAGGCUCAACAGCCUCUGUACAUCGCCAUGAAGGGACAAAGCAGGGCCCUUGGCACACAGACAGUGCUCAGUAAACAUAUGGAGGUUGAUGAGUUAAUUAGCUGGCUAAUUAAUCAAUAUAACCAAGGCCCUUCCAUAAAAGAACAACAAGCUCACAAAGCCGUCCUUCUGUGGAGGUUUUACAGUCUCCCCAUUGAGUGAGUCAUGUCUAGAGGGUCACGGAUUGCACAAGGAGGAGUGAAGACGGAGCAGAGCCGGGGAGGUGAGCCUCUGGAGGAGGCCGCUCUCUUCCCGGCUCAGCCCGUUCGCCCUUUCCUCCAGUCGGUAUGCCAGCCUUGCUUUGUCGGCUGCCCACUGAAGUCUGUACAAAAGGGAACCUAGCAUUCCACGGGAUUCCCACCAGCAUCCUCCCACUUUUCCCGCUCCUCUCUUACCCACACCCCUGCAGCAAGAUGACUCAGAUUGAGCAAUAGAUCCACACGCUUUCCAGAAGCCCUGCGUGCUGAAACGGGGCUGCAUUCGCAGCGUCCUGAGACCAGGGAAGGAGUAUCACAAGUUCGAGGCCAGCCUGAGCUACAUAUCGAAGCUUGCGUGAAAUGAAACUUGUCAAUCAACGCAUCUCCCAAAAUAUUGAACUGAGAGGUACCGAUACAACUGGCCAAGGCCAAUGAACUCAGUAGCCUUCGGUGAGGUUUGUGGCACUACUGAGUCACAGUCAAAAUAAAUAAGGAAGUGAGCUGAAUGCAAAACAGUGCAGAUACUUGAGGGAAAGGAACAUGUGAAGCCACACGGAGAGGCAAAAGGAAAGGACGGUGGCUUCAGGGUCAAGUUGAUCCAGGUCCCUGUAUUGGGUCCCAGGCCACAGAGAUGCUAGGUAUCUAUAGCUGUCGAGCAUCUGCUCUGCUGGUAGAGACAUGAGCGUGUAUGAUACUGGCUGGGCCAGCAUGCAGACUGUACUGUGAGGACGACUUUUCUCAGCCACACCACCAGACCUACGUGUAGCUUCAUGUUCCUGUCUGAGCUGUGUCACUAGGCAACGUGGAGAGGAAGCAGAAGUCAAGCCGAUUCUCCUGACACUCACCACAGUUCAGUCACACUGUCUCCUUAUCAGUGCAGAACACAAGCCCCGAGUUAGUCAGGCCAAUGAGGCUGGCGUUACAGACUUACUUCACUUCCACACAGCCUCGACAGUGUGAUUGAUGUACCUUGAAAACAUUCUUAAAAAAAAAAAAACAAAAGCAAACAACAACAACAAAACCCGUAACCAUUUGCUAAAGAUUGAAUGCUUUAUGGUUCUGCUUAUAAGAAAGAGACCUAGGGAGUCACAUCUACAGAGAGUCAAACAAAAUGACUGGGUUGCUGGGAAUAGGAGAGCAGAAUUGGGGGUUCACAGUUAAUAGGUGCACACUUAGAUAUUGUGAGAUGGAAAUUCUGGAGGUAGAGGGGAGAUGAUGCUGUGUUGAAUGUGCAGAACACCAUCCAGCCGUGUAUUUAAUCGUGGUGGGAUUGGUCAAUUCCAUGUUGUAUUUGUUUAAACACAAUUAAGAACAGACAUGCUAGGCAGCGGAAGCCUCAGAGAGUGCUCUACAAAACCCUGUGCCUACUUAUAUUUGUCGUUAUGACAAGAGGGCUUAUUGCUUUAAGUUUAUUUUUGUAGAACGAGACUCUGAUACUUAGGCCAUUGAGAAGGACUUGGGGACCUCCUGCUUGCUUCUAUGAACACCAGACAAAAUGCCAAGGAAAACCACAGUCAGCCUAGAAUGAGAACAGGGUCGGUUCAUUUGUUCCUGACACUCAGCAUUCCUCUUCCUCCACCUCCUCUUCUCUCCACUCCUGACUGGCCUGGAGACCAGACCUGUCUGCCCCAGGGCCUGGGCUAAUAUACUUGGCAGGCCUCAGAAAGGAGCUUCAUCCUCCCUGGAGGACCACUUUGCCUAACUGGGCAGGUGGAAUGAAAGGGGUUUUGUCUGAGAUGUGUACUGAAAAUCCCAACUCAUGUGUGAAGAUUGUCAAGAAUAAAUCGCUUCUUCUUGAAUGUGCUCGAAUCUUGAAAUGAAAGGAGGAACAUUUUCACCCUAUCACCCAGUAAAAGCGUGCUUAACAGUUGUAACACAUGGAGUACUAUUCAGCCAUUAGAAACAAUGAAUUCAUGAUAUUCUUAGACAAAUGGAUGGAGCUGGAGAACAUCAUCCUAAGUGAGGUAACCCAGUCUCAAAAGAACACUCAUGGUAUGCAAUCACUGAUAAGCAGAUGUUAACCUAGAAGCUUGGAAUACCCAAGACACAAUCCACAUAUCAAAUGAUGUCCAAGAAGAAGGAAGGAGUGGCUCCUGGUUCUGGAAAGGCCCAGUACAGCAGUGUAGGGGAAUACCA